ACGCUAGCUAUAGGCUUAACACAUGCAAGUCCGAGGGGAAACGGCAUUAUGUGCUUGCACAUUUUGGACGUCGACCGGCGCACGGGUGAGUAUCGCGUAUCCAACCUUCCCUCCACUCGGGGAUACCCCGUUGAAAGACGGCCUAAUACCCGAUGUUGUCCACAUAUGGCAUCUGACGUGGACCAAAGAUUCAUCGGUGGAGGAUGGGGAUGCGUCUGAUUAGCUUGUUGGUGCGGGUAACGGCCCACCAAGGCUACGAUCAGUAGGGGUUCUGAGAGGAAGGUCCCCCACAUUGGAACUGAGACACGGUCCAAACUCCUACGGGAGGCAGCAGUGAGGAAUAUUGGUCAAUGGACGUAAGUCUGAACCAGCCAAGUAGCGUGCAGGAUUGACGGCCCUAUGGGUUGUAAACUGCUUUUGUUGGGGAGUAAAGUGAGGCACGCGUGCCUUUUUGCAUUUACCCUUCGAAUAAGGACCGGCUAAUUCCGUGCCAGCAGCCGCGGUAAUACGGAAGGUCCAGGCGUUAUCCGGAUUUAUUGGGUUUAAAGGGAGUGUAGGCGGUCUGUUAAGCGUGUUGUGAAAUUUAGGUGCUCAACAUCUACCUUGCAGCGCGAACUGGCGGACUUGAGUGCACGCAACGUAUGCGGAAUUCAUGGUGUAGCGGUGAAAUGCUUAGAUAUCAUGACGAACUCCGAUUGCGAAGGCAGCGUACGGGAGUGUUACUGACGCUUAAGCUCGAAGGUGCGGGUAUCGAACAGGAUUAGAUACCCUGGUAGUCCGCACGGUAAACGAUGGAUGCCCGCUGUUAGCGCCUGGCGUUAGCGGCUAAGCGAAAGCAUUAAGCAUCCCACCUGGGGAGUACGCCGGCAACGGUGAAACUCAAAGGAAUUGACGGGGGCCCGCACAAGCGGAGGAACAUGUGGUUU
rnacentral:rRNA from 1 species